rnacentral:rRNA from 1 species
CAAUAGCGUAUAUUUAAGUUGUUGCAGUUAAAAAGCUCGUAGUUGGAUUUCGGAUGGGAUUUGCCGGUCCGUCGUUACGAUGUGCACUGGCCAGUCCUAUCUUGUUGUCGGGGACUAGCUCCUUGGAUUCACUUCCUGGGACUAGGAGCUGACGAGGUUACUUUGAGUAAAUUAGAGUGUUCAAAGCAAGCCUACGCUCUGAAUACAUUAGCAUGGAAUAACACGAUAGGACUCUGGCUUAUCUUGUUGGUCUGUGAGACCAGAGUAAUGAUUAAGAGGGACAGUCGGGGACAUUCGUAUUUCAUUGUCAGAGGUGAAAUUCUUGGAUUUAUGAAAGACGAACUUCUGCGAAGGCAUUUGUCAAGGAUGUUUUCAUUA